rfam:Dipodomys ordii contig_28441, whole genome shotgun sequence.
GGUGGCUCAGUGGUAGAGUGCUUGCCUCGCAUGCAUGAGGUCCUGGGUUCGAUUCCUCAGCACCA